rnacentral:misc_RNA from 1 species
GAUGAAGAACGUAGUGAAAUGCGAUACUUGGUGUGAAUUGCAGAAUCCCGUGAACCAUCGAGUCUUUGAACGCAAGUUGCGCCCGAAGCCAUUAGGCCGAGGGCACGCCUGCCUGGGCGUCACACGUCGUUGCCCCCCCAUCUACUCCUUCGGGAUUGCGGGGGGCGGAUGAUGGCCUCCCGUGCGCCUCGUCGCGCGGUUGGCAUAAAUGCCAAGUCCUCGGCGACGCACGCCACGACAAUCGGUGGUUGCGAAACCUCGGUUGCCCGUCGUGUGCGGUCGUCGCGCAUCGAGGGCUCGAAAAAAUUGCCGGGUUCCGGCUCGGCUUUCAACGCGACCCCAGGUCAGGCGGGGUUACCCGCUGAAUUUAAGCAUAUCAAUAAGCGGAGGA